rnacentral:rRNA from 1 species
GGCCUGGCUGGGCGGUCCGCUUAACGGCGUGUACUGUCUGGCUGGGUCUUACCUCUUGGUGAACUGGCGUGCUCUUUAUUGCGUGCGUCAGGGAACCAGGACUUUUACCUUGAGAAAAUUAGAGUGUUCAAAGCAGGCCUAUGUCUGAAUACAUUAGCAUGGAAUAAUAAAAUAGGACGUGCGGUUCUAUUUUGUUGGUUUCUAGAGUCGCCGUA